rnacentral:lncRNA from 1 species
AACCAGAAGCAGCAGGCAUAAAUGUCUCCCAGGCAGCCUGCAUCUGUUUAUUCCAUUUUAUAAAGUGCUGCUGACUGACUGACGUCAGAUCCUGGAGCGGGGCGUAUCCAGACUUUCUGACUGGGGUGGCACAACUUGGGCACUGAUGUGUCUCAGCUUUCCAUUCAUUCCCGAUACAGCCCUCAUGGCCAUCUUCCAGCUCAGAGACAGACUGUCCGUUGCAGCGAGCAGCUCUUCAGGCCUCAGCAGACCAAAGUGGACUACACGCAGACUAUUUCCAUCCUGGUUAACCACCGUUACACUCAUCCUUCUCACGACAGAACAGACAAUUGUGAGAGAUGAUUGUGACAGAUAUGUCCUCACAGGACCAAACCUGUGAGCCUUUAAAAAGUCAUGAAUUCUACAUGCUGGUGGACUGUUUCCUCAAAUAAAUAAAUAAUAAAUAAAUAAAAUUCUGUAUGGAGUAAAGAGCUCAUGCUUACUCUGCAAAUCUUGUAUACUCCUUGUUACAGAAAGACCAUAAUAGCCUCGCCUGCUGUCACUCAGAAUAAAAUCAUGUGAACCUUGUGUGGCAAAAUAUUUCUACCUUCAUUUAUUCAUUCCCUUAAUUGUAUUCUUUGUGCAGUCAUGCAUGUGUGCUGAUGUGUGGAUGAUGGGAGUGUGUUGGUCUAUAUAUGUUCAUAUUUAAGCAUGCGGAUUGUGUUUGGGUUCAUACAUGUGAGCAGGGGUUAUCACUGUGACUUUAACAGCAGUGAUAA